rnacentral:rRNA from 1 species
UACAGAGGUCUCAAGCGUUGUUCGGAUUCAUUGGGCGUAAAGGGUGCGUAGGCGGCGCGGUAAGUCGGGUGUGAAAUCUUGGAGCUUAACUCCGAAACUGCAUUCGAUACUGCCGUGCUUGAGGACUGGAGAGGAGACUGGAAUUUACGGUGUAGCGGUGAAAUGCGUAGAUAUCGUAAGGAAGACCAAUGGCGAAGGCGGGUCUCUGGACAGUUCCUGACGCUGAGGCACGAAGGCCAGGGGAGCAAACGGG